AUUGAACGCUGGCGGCAUGCUUUACACAUGCAAGUCGAACGGUAACAGGCCGCAAGGUGCUGACGAGUGGCGAACGGGUGAGUAAUGCAUCGGAACGUGCCCAGUCGUGGGGGAUAACGCAGCGAAAGCUGUGCUAAUACCGCAUACGAUCUAUGGAUGAAAGCGGGGGACCGUAAGGCCUCGCGCGAUUGGAGCGGCCGAUGUCAGAUUAGGUAGUUGGUGGGGUAAAGGCCGACCAAGCCGACGAUCCGUAGCUGGUCUGAGAGGACGGCCAGCCACACUGGGACUGAGACACGGCCCAGACUCCUACGGGAGGCAGCAGUGGGGAAUUUUGGACGAUGGGCGCAAGCCUGAUCCAGCAAUGCCGCGUGCAGGAAGAAGGCCUUCGGGUUGUAAACUGCUUUUGUACGGAACGAAACGGUCUGGGUUAAUACCCUGGGCUAAUGACGGUACCGUAAGAAUAAGCACCGGCUAACUACGUGCCAGCCGCCGCCGUAAGAC
rnacentral:rRNA from 1 species